rnacentral:tRNA from 1 species
GGGGCGUCGCCAAGCGGUAAGGCCCGGGGCUUUGAUCCCCGUAUGCACAGGUUCGAUUCCUGUCGCCCCUGCCA